rnacentral:tRNA from 1 species
GGGGAUGUAGCUCAAAUGGUAGAGCGCUCGCUUUGCAUGCGAGAGUUACAGGGUUCGAUCCCUACUCCACCC